AAGAUUUUAAUGAUCGAACAGAUCAAAAUUUUAAACUUCUGCAUUUAAAUUUUAUCUUAAUCCAACAUCGAGGUCGCAAACUUUUUUUCUUAUAAGAACUAAAAAAAAAAAUUACG
rnacentral:rRNA from 1 species